rnacentral:misc_RNA from 1 species
GAUGAAGAACGCAGCGAAAUGCGAUAAGUAAUGUGAAUUGCAGAAUUCAGUGAAUCAUCGAAUCUUUGAACGCACAUUGCGCCCCUUGGUAUUCCGGGGGGCAUGCCUGUCUGAGCGUCAUUUCAACCCUCAUGCCCCUAGGGCGUGGUGUUGGGGAUCGGCCAAAGCCCGCGAGGGACGGCCGGCCCCUAAAUCUAGUGGCGGACCCGUCGUGGCCUCCUCUGCGAAGUAGUGAUAUUCCGCAUCGGAGAGCGAUGAGCCCCUGCCGUUAAACCCCCAACUUUCCAAGGUUGACCUCAGAUCAGGUAGGAAUACCCGCUGAACUUAAGUAUAUCAAUAAGCGGAGGA